rnacentral:rRNA from 2 species
AAAUUGAAGAGUUUGAUCAUGGCUCAGAUUGAACGCUGGCGGCAGGCCUAACACAUGCAAGUCGAACGGUAACAGGAAGCAGCUUGCUGCUUUGCUGACGAGUGGCGGACGGGUGAGUAAUGUCUGGGAAACUGCCUGAUGGAGGGGGAUAACUACUGGAAACGGUGGCUAAUACCGCAUAACGUCGCAAGACCAAAGAGGGGGACCUUCGGGCCUCUUGCCAUCAGAUGUGCCCAGAUGGGAUUAGCUUGUUGGUGAGGUAACGGCUCACCAAGGCGACGAUCCCUAGCUGGUCUGAGAGGAUGACCAGCCACACUGGAACUGAGACACGGUCCAGACUCCUACGGGAGGCAGCAGUGGGGAAUAUUGCACAAUGGGCGCAAGCCUGAUGCAGCCAUGCCGCGUGUAUGAAGAAGGCCUUCGGGUUGUAAAGUACUUUCAGCGGGGAGGAAAGUGUUG